rnacentral:rRNA from 1 species
CCGAUGGCGACCGGCGCACGGGUGAGUAACGCGUAUGCAACCUGCCCGAUACCGGGGUAUAGCCCAUGGAAACGUGGAUUAACACCCCAUAGUACUUUUAUCCUGCCUGGGAUGGGAGUUAAAUGUUCAAGGUAUCGGAUGGGCAUGCGUCCUAUUAGUUAGUUGGCGGGGUAACAGCCCACCAAGACGAUGAUAGGUAGGGGUUCUGAGAGGAAGGUCCCCCACAUUGGAACUGAGACACGGUCCAA